rnacentral:rRNA from 1 species
UACGUAGGGUGCGAGCGUUAAUCGGAAUUACUGGGCGUAAAGCGUGCGCAGGCGGUGAUGUAAGACAGAUGUGAAAAUCCCCGGGCUCAACCUGGGAACUGCAUUUGUGACUGCAUCGCUGGAGUACGGCAGAGGGGGGGGAUGGAAUUCCGCGUGUAGCAGUGAAAUGCGUAGAUAUGCGGAGGAACACCGAUGGCGAAGGCAAUCCCCUGGGCCUGUACUGACGCUCAUGCACGAAAGCGUGGGGAGCAAACAGG